UUUGAAUUGUGUUUGUGAACAUGUAUUACCAACAGAGGUGUGGGUGUUAGCGUAUUGGAAGAAAGUGUCAAUGAAGGUGAGAGUCCUUGUUGUCAUGUGCAGCCCUCUGUGCACGGAGUAUGUUUGGUGAGUCACACUCCUUGGCAUUGGAAUGCAAAUUGGGUGGUAAGUUUCAUGCACAGGUAAAUACAUGAUUGACACUGAUAGCGCACAAGUACCAUGAGGGAAAUAUGAAAAGGACUUUGAAAAGAGAGUUAAAUGAUUUUGCACUUGCUGAACAAAAAGUAAACAGAUUUGAUUAUACUGCGUGAGAUUGUGGUGUUUGCUUUGCAUGUCCAUGUGAAUUGCAAAUGCAAUGUUUGUUGCUGUGUGUGCUAGUUAUUUGUGCAUGUGCUGACCAUUGCACAUGAAUGGUAAUAUCUCUGCGGGGGGUGAUUGUAUGUGCAUGCAUGCAUGUGUGCUCAGGCAUGUGUUUGGUGAUGGUGUGUUGGUAUGUGUGUGUGUCUCCUCUGUGGCUAACUUCUGGGUGACCAGGGCACUUCCUUGACACAUAGACGAUGACUAAAUGGUUCUUUUCGACCCGUCU
rnacentral:rRNA from 1 species